rnacentral:rRNA from 1 species
UACGUAGGGGGCAAGCGUUGUCCGGAUUUAUUGGGCGUAAAGAGCGUGUAGGCGGCCAAGCAGGUCAGCUGUGAAAACUCGAGGCUCAACCUCGAGACGUCGGUUGAAACCGCUUGGCUAGAGUCCGGAAGAGGAGAGUGGAAUUCCCGGUGUAGCGGUGAAAUGCGCAGAUAUCGGGAAGAACACCAGUGGCGAAGGCGACUCACUGGACACGUAUUGACGCUGAGGUGCGAAAGCGUGGGGAGCAAACAGGG